CACGUAGGGGGCGAGCGUUGUCCGGAUUUAUUGGGCGUAAAGAGCGUGUAGGCGGCCAGACAGGUCCGUUGUGAAAACUCGAGGCUCAACCUCGAGACGCCGAUGGAAACCGUCCGGCUAGAGUCCGGAAGAGGAGAGUGGAAUUCCUGGUGUAGCGGUGAAAUGCGCAGAUAUCAGGAAGAACACCCGUGGCUAAGGCGGCUCUCUAGUACGGUACUGACGCUGAGACGCGAAAGCGUGGGGAGCGAACAGG
rnacentral:rRNA from 1 species